CCUACGGGUGGCUGCAGUGAGGAAUAUUGGUCAAUGGACGAACGUCUGAACCAGCCAAGUCGCGUGAGGGAUGACUGCCCUAUGGGUUGUAAACUUCUUUUAUAUGGGAGUAAAAUGUUCCACGUGUAGGAUUAUGUAUAUACCAUAUGAAUAAGGAUCGGCUAACCCCGGUCCAGCAGCCGCGGUAAUACGGAGGAUCCGAGCGUUAUCCGGAUUUAUUGGGGUUAAAGGGAGCGUAGGUGGGUUGGUAAGUCAGUUGUGAAAGUUUGCGGCUCAACCGUCAAAUUGCAGUUGAAACUGGCAGUCUUGAGUACAGGAGAGGUGGGCGGAAUUCGUGGUGUAGCGGUGAAAUGCUUAGAUAUCACGAAGAACUCCGAUUGCGAAGGCAGCUCACUGGACUGCAACUGACACUGAGGCUCGAAAGUGUGGGUAUCAAACAGGAUUAGAUACCCUGGUAGUC
rnacentral:rRNA from 1 species